CAUCGAGGGAGCAGGUGCACUGCAUCACACAGGGCCGGUCCUCACGGCAGCAGCCUGGUCCUCGGUCAGACAGGUUGCCUCCCCUCUCAGAGCCCUGGGAGCACUGAUGCCUGCCUCUACGUCACAUGUGAGAAACGUAACAGAGGAUUAUAGAGAAGGUGGGCACGUAGCCAUUGAGGGCCUUCCCGAGAGCCACGCUCCGGGAUGAGGACACCAGUGGUCAAACCCAGAUCCUGUCCCUUUGGGCUCAAGAAGCUCACAGGUGAGCAGAGCAGAGGAUGACGAUGGCGACGAUGAUGAUGAGAACUAUUAUUACCAAGUGGUGGACAUUGUGAGCACCACCCGGCCCCGCCCUCUGUGAAGGACUUGUCAUCCCCGCAGCCAUCAGUCCCUUUCUUUGAUCUGCAAUGACUGCCCCAGCUGGGAACCGCUCCCCCAGGCCAGCUCAGCUGCUCUGUGUGCAGCGCCCCCUCGGGGUCGAGGCUGGGCUGCUCCUCUGCCCGAUACCGCGCCAGGUGGACAAUUGCCAUCGCACCAGCUCUUUCUCUCGGUCGGCUUCCAGAGGAACGCGCAACAGGAUGUCACUGUAAUUAUAUAAGCGCUGAGCAAAUCAGGAUCCUGGGGCUGCCUGCAGGCAGGUGCCUCCCUGUCCAGGCAUCUCAGGCAGCCUGCUCGUGAUGUCCCCGGUGUCACUUGACUUUCCCCCUCAGAGCUGGCCGUGGAGCUGGACAACUCAGGUAGCCUAUGCUCUUUCCUGCCCCAAGCCACUGUGAUCUCCGGGUUUCUCGCUGACCUAAGUAGCCACACCAAAUAAACUGUGCUUUGCAGCUUCACAGCUGGGAA